rnacentral:tRNA from 1 species
GCUUGCGUAGCUCAGUUGGAAGAGCGCCCCCGACGUUCGAGGGGGAGGCCAGGGGUUCGAGUCCCUUCGCAGGCA